GAUGUCAGCCACGUCUCAGCUGCUGCUCUCCUCUUCUUGGCUUCCGAAUAUCCGAUCUAACGACUUGGCCUGGAAUCCUCAGAUUUCACUGUGAGAGUGAAAUUUACAGGCUUUCCCCAGUGGAGCUCUUGCUGGAGAUGUUUGCAGGCCAGGAAAAUUCUUUCUUCUCUAAUGCGAGGCAGAUGCCACUUACCUAAAGGAUGAUGUGGCAGGUUCUUUACCACUGAGCCACUUGUGAAGUUCCUGAACAUUGAUGAAGCUCAUAUCCUGGGGAUGCCAAAGUCCUCGCUCUGCUUCCUAAUCCCCUUCGCUGUCUCUAAGCUGUUCUGGGCCAUCCACUGAUCCACUUCCACAAGUGGUUAAGCAUCCGCCUGCCGAUGCAGAGGACACAGGCUCAAUCCCUGGUUGGGG